rnacentral:rRNA from 1 species
UACAGAGGUCUCGAGCGUUAGGCGGAAUCACUGGGCUUAAAGCGUGUGUAGGCGGAUCGGUAAGUACCUUGUGAAAUCCCACAGCUUAACUGUGGAACUGCUUGGUAUACUGCCAGUCUUGAGCCAGCUAGGGGCUACCGGAACAAAUGGUGGAGCGGUGAAAUGCGUAGAUAUCGUUUGGAACGCCAAUGGUGAAAACAGGCAACUGGGGAUGUGCUGACGCUGAGACACGAAAGCCAGGGGAGCAAACGGG